CCUACGGGUGGCAGCAGUGGGGAAUAUUGGACAAUGGGCGAAAGCCUGAUCCAGCCAUGCCGCGUGUGUGAAGAAGGCCCUCGGGUUGUAAAGCACUUUCAGUGGGGAAGAAAGCCUUGGGGCUAAUACCCUCGAGGAAGGACAUCACCCACAGAAGAAGCACCGGCUAACUCCGUGCCAGCAGCCGCGGUAAUACGGAGGGUGCGAGCGUUAAUCGGAAUUACUGGGCGUAAAGCGCGCGUAGGCGGUCUGAUAAGCCGGUUGUGAAAGCCCCGGGCUCAACCUGGGAACGGCAUCCGGAACUGUCAGGCUAGAGUGCAGGAGAGGAAGGUAGAAUUCCCGGUGUAGCGGUGAAAUGCGUAGAGAUCGGGAGGAAUACCAGUGGCGAAGGCGGCCUUCUGGACUGACACUGACGCUGAGGUGCGAAAGCGUGGGUAGCAAACAGGAUUAGAUACCCCUGUAGUC
rnacentral:rRNA from 1 species